UACGUAGGGUGCGAGCGUUGUCCGGAAUUAUCGGGCGUAAAGAGCUCGUAGGCGGUUCGUCGCGUCGAAUGUGAAAACCCGGGGCUCAACUCCGGGCCUGCAUUCGAUACGGGCGGACUAGAGUUCGGUAGGGGAGACUGGAAUUCCUGGUGUAGCGGUGAAAUGCGCAGAUAUCAGGAGGAACACCGGUGGCGAAGGCGGGUCUCUGGGCCGAUACUGACGCUGAGGAGCGAAAGCGUGGGGAGCGAACAGG
rnacentral:rRNA from 1 species